GAUGAACGCUAGCUACAGGCUUAACACAUGCAAGUCGAGGGGCAGCAUGGUCUUAGCUUGCUAAGGCCGACGGCGACCGGCGCACGGGUGAGUAACACGUAUCCAACCUGCCGUCUACUCUUGGACAGCCUUCUGAAAGGAAGAUUAAUACAAGAUGGCAUCAUGAGUCCGCAUGUUCACAUGAUUAAAGGUAUUCCGGUAGACGAUGGGGAUGCGUUCCAUUAGAUAGUAGGCGGGGUAACGGCCCACCUAGUCUUCGAUGGAUAGGGGUUCUGAGAGGAAGGUCCCCCACAUUGGAACUGAGACACGGUCCAAACUCCUACGGGAGGCAGCAGUGAGGAAUAUUGGUCAAUGGGCGAGAGCCUGAACCAGCCAAGUAGCGUGAAGGAUGACUGCCCUAUGGGUCGUAAACUUCUUUUAUAAAGGAAUAAAGUCGGGUAUGCAUACCCGUUUGCAUGUACUUUAUGAAUAAGGAUCGGCUAACUCCGUGCCAGCAGCCGCAGUAAUAC
rnacentral:rRNA from 1 species